rnacentral:lncRNA from 1 species
GUGCAUCUCAUUGUCAUUAGCAAUCAUAUUCUCAAUCAACUCAUAAGCUUCAUCUAGAGUCUUGCACUUAAUAUUGCCUCCAGUUGAGGCAUCCAACAUCAAUUUUGUUUGGGAGCCAAGUCAUCCAAGGAAUAGAAUGACUACUGAAGCUUUGUCAAAGCCAUGUGUGGGAGUCUUCCUUAACAAGCCUUUGUAUCUG